rnacentral:rRNA from 1 species
UACGAAGGGGGCUAGCGUUGCUCGGAAUCACUGGGCGUAAAGCGCACGUAGGCGGCGCGGUAAGUCGGGUGUGAAAUCUCGGAGCUUAACUCCGAAACUGCAUUCGAUACUGCCGUGCUUGAGGACUGGAGAGGAGACUGGAAUUCACGGUGUAGCAGUGAAAUGCGUAGAUAUCGUGAGGAAGACCAGUGGCGAAGGCGGGUCUCUGGAC